GAGAGAGAGAUUUUAUUGUACGACCUGCCCUCUUUUGAAAAAAAAGCGAGUGAGCGCAGCCAUGCUUUGCAGAGGCUACGGCAUCGCUCUCAUUGGUCGUAUCGGCACCUCGCCGGACGGAGUCUCUGCCUGCGCCAAAGGACCCGGGGAAUACAAGCCACUGCCUCCGCGCUGUUAAAGGUCCGCAGUGAGGCAGUAAUGCUGUAGCGACGUGAAAAACACCGCAAAGCCCGGAUACACGUUUAGCGGAGCGCAGUGUUCUGGGAUCCACCGAAUGGCGUGGACCGAAUCGUGGUGCAUUAAGGGAUAAUGGGGGACUUCCUACAGUUUUGGACAACGCAGUCGACGGAAACGCAUCAAACGUAAUCCAUUUUCACCUGACAAUGCGGCCUAGGACUGAUCUCUUUGGAUUCGUGCUUGGAAUUUUUUAUUUCUUCCGUUUUUGACCAAACUUGACAUCGUUAGAGAUUUUAGUUGACUAAACGUGCCUCAAGAGGCUGCACCAUUACGCCAUUUAUACUUGUAAAAACAGGUUUGACGGAAAGGUAUGAGGUCUGCGGCCGCUUCUCACAGCAAAAUGAAUGCAGCUGGAGACACACACACACACACACAGACACACACACAUGCAUCCAACCAGACCAGCGGGUUGUGUCUCUCCGUGUUCACAGCGGACCUUGAUUUAAUGUCUUACAAUUAAGGCACGCGGUGAAUGCCAAGAGAUUAUCCUUCAUUCGUCGGAUAUCUGCAUACUCCCAUAACGCAUCACACCUUAGAAAUACAUCUCAACUUAUUGGUGUUGCUUUCUGAAUGUUCGCUUCUGUCGUUUCAAACUGUAACGCAUUACUCAUGUACUGUCCCCCUCCCCUACAAUAAAGCAAAUACACACAA